rnacentral:rRNA from 1 species
CGAACGCUGGCGGCAGGCCUAAUACAUGCAAGUCGAAAGGCUCUUCGGAGCAGUGGCGGACGGGUGAGUAACGCGUGGGAAUGUGCCCGUUGGUACGGAACAACACAGGGAAACUUGUGCUAAUACCGUAUGUGCCCUUCGGGGGGAAGAUUUAUCGCCAUUGGAGCAGCCGGCGUUGGAUUAGGUAGUUGGGGAGGUAAAGGCUCACCAAGCCUACGAUCCAUAGCUGGUCUGAGAGGAUGACCAGCCACACUGGGACUGAGACACGGCCCAGACUCCUACGGGAGGCAGCAGUAGGGAAUCUUGCGCUAUGGGCGAAAGCCUGACGCAGCCAUGCCGCGUGUAUGAUGAAGGUCUUAGGAUUGUAAAAUACUUUCACCGGGGAAGAUAAUGACGGUACCCGGAGAAGAAGCCCCGGCUAACUUCGUGCCAGCAGCCGCGGUAAUAC